CCUACGGGAGACAGCAGUGAGGAAUAUUGGUCAAUGGGCGCUAGCCUGAACCAGCCAAGUAGCGUGAAGGAUGACUGCCCUAUGGGUUGUAAACUUCUUUUAUAUGGGAAUAAAGUGCAGUAUGUAUACUGCUUUGCAUGUACCUUAUGAAUAGGGAUCGGCUAACUCCGUGCCAGCAGCCGCGGUAAUACGGAGGAUCCGAGCGUUAUCCGGAUUUAUUGGGUUUAAAGGGAGCGUAGGCGGGUUGUUAAGUCAGUUGUGAAAGUUUGCGGCUCAACCAUAAAAUUGCAGUUGAUACUGGCAGCCUUGAGUACAGUAGAGGUAGGCGGAAUUCGUGGUGUAGCGGUGAAAUGCUUAGAUAUCACGAAGAACUCCGAUUGCGAAGGCAGCCUGCUGGACUGUAACUGACGCUGAUGCUCGAAAGUGUGGGUAUCAAACAGGAUUAGAUACCCCUGUAGUC
rnacentral:rRNA from 1 species